rnacentral:rRNA from 1 species
CUACGGGCUGCUGCAGUAGGGGAUUUUGCGCAAUGGGCGAAAGCCUGACGCAGCAACGCCGCGUGAAUGAUGACGCCCUUCGGGGUGUAAAGUUCUGUCAGUGGGGACGAAACUUGACGGUACCCACAGAGGAAGCACCGGCUAACUCCGUGCCAGCAGCCGCGGUAAUACGGAGGGUGCAAGCGUUGUCCGGAAUCAUUGGGCGUAAGGAGUUCGUAGGUGGCAUGUUAAGUCUGGUGUUAAAGCCCGAAGCUCAACUUCGGUUCGGCACUGGAUACUGGCAAGCUUGAAUGCGGUAGAGGUAAAGGGAAUUCCUGGUGUAGCGGUAAAAUGCGUAGAUAUCAGGAGGAACAUCGGUGGCGAAAGCGCUUUACUGGGCCGUUAUUGACGCUGAGGAACGAAAGCCAGGGUAGCAAAUGGGAUUAGAUACCCUCGUAGUC